ACAUAAAAAAAAAAAAGGCAUCCGUUUUUCAACUCUAGUUCCAUAGUGGAAUUCUGGGUUCCAUCUUUGAGUUAUUUCAUCUUCGCUUUGAGCUCCAUCUUUGAAUUCAACCUUCUCCGCACCUAAACGAUACACUCCACCUAACCAAAGGAACCAUUCUUCAAACCGGAGGAGAUCACGAGCUCUUUUGCAACGACAAGGAGUUAACGUUCAAGGCCUGGUUAAGACUUCUUCUUCUUCUAAAGAUGAACCAAAGCCAUACAUUGACGGAACUGGAAGCACAUGGCCAAAUUCAGAGCUAAACAAGCAGCCAAAGAUGUUGUGGAUCACCUGCAACUUCAACGUUUGCAAAUCUGAUCUGAGCACAGUUCAGUUUGAAAUGGGGUGGUCAGCGUGUAGCAACUAUGCUAAUGUAUUUAACCGAUGACGUUGAAGGAGGAGAAACUUAUUUUCCUUGGGACGUCGAGUUGUAACCC